rnacentral:rRNA from 1 species
UGCGAACGCUGGCGGCAGGCCUAACACAUGCAAGUCGAACGGACCCUUCGGGGUUAGUGGCGGACGGGUGAGUAACACGUGGGAACGUGCCUUUAGGUUCGGAAUAGCUCCUGGAAACGGGUGGUAAUGCCGAAUGUGCCCUUCGGGGGAAAGAUUUAUCGCCUUUAGAGCGGCCCGCGUCUGAUUAGCUUGUUGGUGGGGUAAUGGCCCACCAAGGCUACGAUCAGUAGCUGGUCUGAGAGGAUGACCAGCCACAUUGGGACUGAGACACGGCCCAAACUCCUACGGGAGGCAGCAGUGGGGAAUCUUGCGCAAUGGGCGAAAGCCUGACGCAGCCAUGCCGCGUGUAUGAUGAAGGUCUUAGGAUUGUAAAAUACUUUCACCGGUGAAGAUAAUGACUGUAGCCGGAGAAGAAGCCCCGGCUAACUUCGUGCCAGCAGCCGCGGUAAUACGAAGGGGGCUAGCGUUGCUCGGAAUUACUGGGCGUAAAGGGAGCGUAGGCGUACAUUUAAGUCGA